GACGAACGCUGGCGGCGUGCUUAACACAUGCAAGUCGAACGGAAAGGCCCUGCUUUUGUGUGGUGCUCGAGUGGCGAACGGGUGAGUAACACGUGAGUAACCUGCCCUUGACUUUGUGAUAACUUCAGGAAACUGGGGCUAAUACCGGAUAGGAGCGCCUGCUGCAUGGUGGGGGUUGGAAAGUUUCGGCGGUUGGGGUUGUACUCGCGGCUUAUCAGCUUGUUGGUGGGGUAGUGGCUGACCAAGGCUUUGUCGGGUCGCCGGCCUGAGAGGUGGACCGGCCACAUGGGGACUGAGAUAGGGCCCAGACUCCAACGGGGGGCAGCAGUGGGGAAUAUUGCACAAUGGGGGGACGCCUGAUGCAGAAACGCCGGGUGCGGGAUGACGGUCUUCGGGUUGUAAACCGCUUUCGCCUGUGACGAAGCGUGAGUGACGGUAAUGAGUAAAGAAGCACCGGCUAACUACGUG
rnacentral:rRNA from 1 species